rnacentral:misc_RNA from 1 species
GAUGAAGAACGUAGCGAAAUGCGAUAAGUAAUGUGAAUUGCAGAAUUCAGUGAAUCAUCGAAUCUUUGAACGCACAUUGCGCCCCCUGGUAUUCCGGGGGGCAUGACUGUUCGAGCGUCAUUACAACCCUCAAGCUCUGCUUGGUAUUGGGCCCCGCCAGUUCUGGCGGGCCCUAAAGUCAGUGGCGGUGCCUUCCGGCUCCGAGCGUAGUAAUUCUUCUCGCUCUGGAGACCCGGUUGUGUGCUUGCCAACAACCCCCAAUUUUUUAAGGUUGACCUCGGAUCAGGUAGGGAUACCCGCUGAACUUAAGCAUAUCAAUAAGCGGAGGA